rnacentral:rRNA from 1 species
GGUCCGUAGCCGGUUUGAUCAGUCUUCCGGGAAAUCUGACAGCUCAACUGUUAGGCUUCUGGGGGAUACUGUCAGACUUGGAACCGGGAGAGGUAAGAGGUACUACAGGGGUAGGAGUGAAAUCUUGUAAUCCUUGUGGGACCACCAGUGGCGAAGGCGUCUUACCAGAACGGGUUCGACGGUGAGGGACGAAAGCUGGGGGCACGAACCGGAUUAGAUACCCGGGUAGUCCCAGCCGUAAACGAUGCUCGCUAGGUGUCUGGGAUGGUGCGACCGUUUCAGGUGCCGCAGGGAAGCCGUGAAGCGAGCCACCUGGGAAGUACGGCCGCAAGGCUGAAACUUAAAGGAAUUGGCGGGGGAGCACUACAACGGGUGGAGCCUGCGGUUUAAUUGGACUCAACGCCGGAAAACUCACCUGGGGCGACAGCAAUAUGUAGGUCAGGCUGAAGGUCUUACCUGAAUCGCUGAGAGGAGGGGCCAUGGCCACC